AUCACUUCUCAACCUUUUGGCUAAGAUCAAGUGUAGUAUGUCUUCUGUUGAGGACUAUAUAUUAAAUGGAUUUUUUGGAGCUGGGAGAUGGAAUAGGGGCUUGCUCCAUCCAUUCCAUGCAUCAACCUGGUACUGCAAUGCCUCCAGGAAUGGUGUGCGCACA
ensembl:snRNA U2 U2 spliceosomal RNA